UGCCACACGGGUGCCACGUGUGUGCUUGGGCUCAAGAUUUUUCAAGCCGGGCUGCAAGAGAAGGGCUGGCUUCACCAUUGAAGGCUUGUUGUGAUAACAAGGCCCAACUGCAGCCACUUUCCAUCAGCAGUUCGUGCCAGCAGUGUUCACACCAGCUAAGAUACCUUCCC